rnacentral:rRNA from 1 species
CUUGUACACACCGCCCGUCAAGCCAUGAAAGCCGGGGGCGCCUAAAGUCCGUGACCGUAAGGAGCGGCCUAGGGCGAAACUGGUAAUUGGGGCUAAGUCGUAACAAGGUAGCCGUACCGGAAGGUGCGGCUGGAACACCUCCUUU